UGACCAUGAGCUCCUGGACUGUGCCGCUGUGACCCAGUCCACUGACACUGAGGAGGUUACCAACACGGAAUCAGGGUCAGUCUCAUCUCCACUGAGUCACUAGGCUCUGUCCCUUAUAUUUGGUGCCCUUGGUAAGUGACUUUAUCUCUGAGUCUUUGUUUUCUCACCUAUAAAGGGGGUCUAACGAUCUCCAAUACUUGCUUCCUGGGGUUGUGGUGAACUUUAAAAUUGGCUAAUAUUCAUUGAGCUUUUAGACGGAGCUAGGCAUACGUUAAGUGCUUCCCAGUUUGCUCAUCUAAUUCUCACAACAACUCUCUGGGGUUGAUACUCUUAUCAUCAUUUCCACUUGACAGAUAAGGAAACUGAAGCUUCAAGGGUAAUUAAUCUUGUUUGAGGUCACGAAGCUAUUUUGUGACAAAGAUGCAUGAACACCCAUGUCUUUCUGAUUCCAGUGGUAACAUCUUAGCUAGAUAAGGGGAUGAUAUGUGUAAAGUACUGAGAACAGAACACAGGAGGCACUCAAAGUAAGCUACUUGCUGUGUUAAAUAGACUCUAUGGAGUGUGGUUAGAUGGACGCUUCUUUAGCUUUGGGAGAUGAAUAAAUGCCCUGAGGAUAAGAGCCAGAGACUGACCUCACUCCCUGCCACUCUGUAAAAACAUUUUUUUGUUUAAGUAGAGUUGAUUUACAAUGUUUUGUUAGUUUCUGGUGCAUAGCAAAGUGAUUCAGAUACAUGUAUAUACAUAUAAAAUACACUUUUUUUUGUAUUCUUUUCUAUUAUGGUGCAUUAGAGGAUAUUGACCAUAGUUCCCUGUGCUAUAAGUAGGAUCUUGUUGUUUAUCUACUUUCUAUAUGGUAGUGUGUAUCUGCUACUUUUUCUUGUGGAUCAUCCUACAAGCCUUGGAAAAGGAGAAGGCCACCCUGCAGGAAGAGGGCUGCUUCCUGGUAAAGAACGCAUCUGGCUAGCUCCCCCAAGGGCUGAAGAGAAGAAGAAGUAAACAGGUAGAGCAAAAUGGUUAAUCAGACCCUGCUGGAGAGAGGUGGUUGUGUGACUGGGUUGCAAGAAAUACAGAGUUCAGUUUAUGGCCGAUGUUGGGUUUUCCACCCACUGCCUAUGGAAUGGGGUAGCGCCUAAUGAAUGUUUGCAAAGGGUCUUUGAACUUCCUGAGAUGAAAGGCCAUGCCCUGUUUUUCAAGGAGCUUUGCUAGUUCUCAUGGAUCUGUCUGUCUUCUAUUGGGGAUGGAGGGCAAUUAAACAAUCUGUGACCAUCGAAGACGUGGGACACCAUACAGAGCUGUGUUACCCUCACCGUCUACCCCAGUGUCUCAUGUGUGUAAUGGGAGCUCCACAAAUGUUUGCUCUCAUGGAUGGGGGUGGGGUCAUUUGGCUUUCCUUGGCGGCUCUGAUGCUCUUCAUUCAGUGAAUCACCUCUUUUUGUUCACUGGGUACGCAGUUGUGAGGUGCCAUGCAUGUUCACCUGGGGAGUGGUGGAGGGAUGGAGGUGGUGAAAGGGAGAGGAAUGGAGCGUUCUGCCUCUUCCUCGUUUGCAGGCCAUGCAGCAUGUAUGGUGGUCAGUGCAUGGGAGUUCCAAGCACGAGAGGCACCUAUGUGUGUGUUGGUGUUGAGGUGUGUAAUGAAAAGCAAAUACUGAGCAACAGUAAAGUUCCUAAUUCUGAAGAAGUCAGUGUUCAGUGCUUUAGUGAACAUUCUCCUGAAAGGCCUGUGCUAAGCUAGGCAUUUUGGCCAAAGCUGAAUUCUCAAGAAACCAGGUCUGGGAAUGGGUCUGUACCUUGGACGCAAGGCCUGGGAGAAUUCCAUGCACCUCUCAGAAGCCAUGGCGCGUACUUGCCCAAGGUAGGCCUCAGGUAGGAUUAAUUAUAAUUUCUUAAAUUGUUUCCACUGGCUGAGCAAUCCAUUGUUGAUAGAAAGAACCCUGGGAGCUCCUGUUGUGCCUCAGCAGGUUACAAACCCAACUAGGAUCCAUGAGGAUGUGGGUUCAAUCCCUGGCCUCACUCAGUGGGUUAAGGAUCCAGUGUUGCCGGGAGCUGUGGUAUAGACUGCAGAUGUGGCUUGGAUCCCGAGUUGCUGUGGCUGUGGUGUAGGCUGGCACCUGCAGCUCAGAAAUUCCACAUGCCCAGGUCCAGCCCUGAAAAGCAAAAACAAAACAAAACAAAGAAAACAAAACCAAAAAGCUGAAAACCCCACAAAACCCCAGGUAGUAUUCCAGGCCUUCGUUUCAGGCUGUUCUUAGAUUUUCUUCAUCACAGACACAGGCGAUGCUCUCUACUGUCCUUAGUUUGCUGUGGGGUUGCCAGGCCGCCCAGUAUUUCCUCCCUGCAGGUUUCAGAUGAGAUGCUGUCUGUGUGCAGGCGAGCGAGGUGGGCUGGGCUGCACGGGACAAUUAUGUGGUGCCUGCUUGGGGAGAGUCUGGAAGAGUUUCUGAAUUUCCCCCAGAGAAUUUACACCAUCAGCCAAUCUGAUAAACUUGUUUGUGCCAAGGACAUCCUGGUGUGAUGGGCAGAGCCCUGGAUUUUAAGUCAGAAGACUUGGAUGCAAAUAAUAGCUCAGCUUCUAACAAAGCUGUGUGUGAUCUGGCCACCUUUCUAAGCCUGGCUUUCUUCACUUAAUGACAUGGAUGUGCUCAUCUCUCUCUUUUCCACAAGCUCUUUUGUGGGUCAGUGGGAUAAUGACAGUGAAUGUGAGGGGCCCUAAGGAGGAAGGGGUCUGUGAAUAGUGCUGGGAGAGGGUAGAGGACUAACCAACAUACCAGUUCAAGCCCACAUUUUAAUUAUAUUUUCUGGAGGAAAUAGGCUUUCUUGCAUCAUCCAACUUAGAGAAACUCCGUUUCAAGUGGCUCUCAAAUCACAGAGCUAAGAAUCCAGUGCCUAGACUAGUAGAUGAUAAAAGAUUGGCACUCAAACCGUUGACUAGGUGACAGAAUAAUAUGGUGUGUAAUGUAAUGUCAUAAACAGACACCUUCUGGGUAUUGCGAGGAGCAUUUAUUUACUGGACUUAAAUGCAAACCCACCCCCUUUUUGGGGCUUCGCUCACGGCCUAUGGGAGUUUCCAGGCCAGGGAUCGAACCUGCGCCAUAGCAGCGACCUGAGCUGCUGCAGUGACAAUGCUGGAUCCUUAACCCUCUGUGCCACAAGGGAACUCUUAAAAGCAUAUCUCUAAGUAUAGGAACUCAGAUCCAUUAAAGGUAAAUAAAGGUAGCUUCAGGUUGCUCAAUAGAGAAUUUAAUAAAUAUUCUAUUAGAGAUUACAAACCUAGUAUUGUUCUUAGUAAUUUCAAAGUAACUGAGUGUGUCAGUUACUAAACUAUUAUCUCCCAGCUUCAAGUCCACCCUAUCUACUUGGCUCUGGGGCUCUGAAAAUCACCUUUCUGUAAAACACCUUUGCCAGCUGCUCUGGGUAGUGCCAGUAGAGGGCACUAGAGCAUGGCUGGGAGAGGAAAAAUGAUGUGCCUGUUGCCUUGUCUGCUCCCAGGGCCUCUCAGCAUGGCCCCAGCAAUGCUUCUUCUUUAUCUUGGCAGGGUCAGUGUGUUCCAAUAGCAGCAGGUGAAUCCAAUUUGCAGUUUUCCCAGUGUUUGCAGAAUCAGCUUCUUGGUAGCACUUUUCCCUGCCUCACCUGGGCCAUCAGCUUCAGUUGGCCAGUGCUUCCUCCUCAGAGGUCUGGACCCCAGCCCCAUGGCACCUCUCCCCCAGACUUCUAGGUUUUAAUCAGUCCAUCCUCUUCUCUUGGUUUAGGGGUAGGAACUGGAUCCUGCACUUGUUACCUCUCUGGUAUUUUAAAGUUCUCUUUUUGCCUUUUCAGGUCUUCAAACCUAGCUAACCAUUGUUUUGUUUUGUUGCUUUUUAGGGCUGCACCUGCAGCACAUGGAAGUUCCCAGGCUAGGGGUGAAUCAGAGCUACAGCUUCUGGUGGAUGCCACAGCCACAUGGGAUCCGAGCCGCGUCUGUGACCCACACCACAUCCCAUGGCAACGCCGGAUCCCUGACUCACUGAGUGAGGUCAGGGAUUAAACCUGCAUCCUCAUGGAUUCUAGUCAGAUUUGUUUCCACUGUGCUACAAUAGGAACUUCUAAAAAAUUUAUAUGUAUUUUGAUUGAAGUAUAGUAUUAAAGUAUAUUUACAAUGUUUCAGAUAUACAGCAAAGUGAUUCAAUUAUGUAUAUGUGUGUGUAUAUAUCUGUAUGUGUGUAUAUAUAUCUUCUUUUAUGGAUUCUUUUUUUUUUUUGUCUUUUUGCUAUUUCUUGGGCCGCUCCCUCAUGGCAUAUGGAGGUUCCCAGGCUAGGGGUCCAAUCGCAGCUGUAGCCACCGGCCUACGCCAGAGCCACAGCAACGAGGGAUCCGAGCCGCGUCUGCAACCUACACCACAGCUCACAGCAACGCCGGAUCCUUAACCCACUGAGCAAGGCCAGGGAUUGAACCUGAAACCCCAUGGUUACUAGUUGGGAUCGUUAACCACUGCGCCACAAUGGGAAAUCCUGGAUUCUUUUCUAUUUUAGGUUAUUAUAAGGUUCUUGUUAUUUAUCUAUUUUUUAAUAUAGUGGUCUGUAUCAGUUAAUCCCAAAUUCCUAAUUUAUCCCUCCCUUUACUUCCCCCUUUGGUAACCAUAAGUUAUUUUCUAUGUCUGUGAGUCUGUUUCUGUUUUGUAAGUAAAUUCAUUUGUAUCUUUUUUUUAGAUUACACAUAUAUAUGAUCUUAUAUGUUAUUUGCCUUUCUAUGUCUGAUUUACUCUGUAUGAUAAUCUCUAGAUCCAUUCAUUUCAUGUUGCUGCAGAUUGCAUUAUUUCAUUCUUUUUUAUGGCUGAGUAGUACUCCAUUUAGCUAUAUUACAUAUUCCAUUCUUUAUAGAAAAUUGUCUCUGUUCUGGAGUUCCUAUCGUGGCUCAGUGGAAACCAAUCUGACUGGUAUCCAAGAGGAUGCAGGUUUGAUCACUAGCCUCACUUAGUGGGUUAAGGAUCUGGUGUUUCUGUGGCUCUGGUGUAAGCCAGGGGCUACAGCUCUGAUUCAGCUCCUAGCCUGGAAACCUCCAUAUGCCAUGGGUGAGGCCCUCAAAAG
rnacentral:lncRNA from 1 species